rnacentral:rRNA from 1 species
CCUACGGGAGGCAGCAGUGGGGAAUAUUGCACAAUGGGCGCAAGCCUGAUGCAACAACGCCGCGUGAGGGAUGACGGCCUUCGGGUUGUAAACCUCUUUUGGCAGGGAAGAAGCGAAAGUGACGGUACCUGCAGAAAAAGCACCGGCUAACUACGUGCCAGCAGCCGCGGUAAU